rnacentral:rRNA from 1 species
UACGUAGGGAGCAAGCGUUGUCCGGAAUCAUUGGGCGUAAAGCGCGCGUAGGCGGCCCUGUAAGUCCGUUGUGAAAGUCAAAGGCUCAACCUUUGAAAGCCGAUGGAUACUGCAGGGCUAGAGUCCGGAAGAGGCGAGUGGAAUUCCUGGUGUAGCGGUGGAAUGCGUAGAUAUCGUAAGGAAGACCAGUGGCGAAGGCGGGUCUCUGGACAGUUCCUGACGCUGAGGCACGAAGGCCAGGGGAGCAAACGGG